UAGACAAACAAAUCUGAUGGUUUUCCAACGCGGGGCCAGGCAACAUGCAAUUGACCAUGUGAGAAACAUGGGUUUUCUACAUUACUACUCCAAACACUUUAUGAUUGCCCUUGGGACUUGUUUACGAUCGUAGCAAAAGCAAACCGCACUGAAAACUGUAGUCGUUUAAACACAAAUGCACAUCAGUCGGAAUCAUUGGGAUGCGCGUAAUUUUUUAUCGCUAACCGUGUACAGUUGCAAAGACGUGGAUGGUUUAUAUUUCACAACAUUAUAACUAUUGAUUCAUUGAUUAUUGAAAUACUGGCAAAUUCCGGUGGAAAGUUGACUACAUCAUAUUGCCAAUAUAGCUCGUUCGCUCAACCAAUCAUGGUUUCUGUAAUUUUGAGAGAUAUCUGGAAACACCUUCUGAAUAAGUUCAUCUCUUGAUUGCGUUAACUUACAAAAACUUUGAAGAAAGUAAAUGCAUGUAGUCAACAUGUCUA